UCCUAGACCUAGGCUUCAGCCGUUGAACAAAAUACAGAAGAAUCUUCAGCUCAUCUUCUUCAACAAGGACCUACACUCCCUAGACACAGCCGUCACCUCAAAACCACAAAUAUCAGCGCCUUCUCCUGUUGCUAAACCCUUCCUCUGUUUAUCCAUUUGUCGUAAUCCUCUGCUAAUCUCCAUAACCUCUGCAUUUACAGCGUAAUACAAAGGCAUAAGUCUAAUUACUUGCUAAAUAGCUCUAUCUUUUUCUUCUUUUUUUCAAUGUCAAAAAAUGGGUGGAGGAGCUGCUGCUACACUACCGAAUGAUGUACCUUGGAGAGCUGCUUCUGGUUCAAAUCCAAUCCCUAACAUUCAUUACUCCCCUAUUCUUCGUAUCCCUCAAAACCCUUGUUCCAAUUAUGCCUUCUCCGUUAGGAAGGACCCAGAUCCAAUUGGAAGUGGAUUGGGGACGGAGGCUAUUGUUUGAAGCUGUAGGUGCAGAUUGCAUUGGUCUUGGACAGAUUGCACCUAUUAAAUUACUGGGGGUUAAGUUGUGCCGAUUCCAGGUUGCGGAUCCCAGUUCCGAUCGCGGUUUAAUUUUCUGGUCAGAGGCUAGCAUUGGAAAUUCUGCUUCCCAUAAGUUUUCUCAUACAUGUGUGGAUCUACUUACCAGAGUUUGAUCAUGACAGACACCCCGGGACCAUCCAGUCAGGACCGCUGCAUCCAGGAGUUGCUUAAGGAGAUUUUUUUUAUGUUUGGAGUCUGUUUCUUUUUAUGUUGUCUUGUACUUUAUAGUCAUGUCCAGUAGUAAUGUUUCUUUCAGUUGGUGUCGGAGUUUGUCGUAGUAUAGUUGAAUUGAGUCUCUCAUUAUCAUAUUUCCUGUUUUGUAUUUGAAAAUAAAAAAAAAGUUGUAAAUGAAUAAUCCCAAAAAGAUUUUUUUAGUUUAAUUUAUC